UACAGAGGGGGCAAGCGUUGUUCGGAAUUACUGGGCGUAAAGGGCGCGUAGGCGGCCUGCUAAGUCGAACGUGAAAUCCCUGGGCUCAACCCAGGAACUGCGUCCGAUACUGGUUGGCUUGAAUCCGGGAGAGGGAUGCGGAAUUCCAGGUGUAGCGGUGAAAUGCGUAGAUAUCAAGAGGAACACCAGUGGCGAAGGCGGCCUUCUGGACAGAAACUGACGCUGAGACGCGAAAGCGUGGGGAGCAAACAGG
rnacentral:rRNA from 1 species